rnacentral:rRNA from 1 species
CAAGGUCUGUAUACAGGUGGUGCAUGGUUGUCGUCAGCUCGUGUCGUGAGAUGUUGGGUUAAGUCCCGCAACGAGCGCAACCCUCGUUCUGUGUUGCCAGCAUUUAGUUGGGGACUCACAGGAGACUGCCGGGGUUAACUCGGAGGAAGGUGGGGAUGACGUCAAAUCAUCAUGCCCCUUAUGUCUUGGGCUGCACGCAUGCUACUAUGGCUGGUACAAACGGCUGCAAUACCGCAAGGUGGAGCGAAUCCGAGAAAGCCAGUCUCAGUUCGGAUUGGGGUCUGCAACUCGACCCCAUGAAGUCGGAGUUGCUAGUAAUCGUAGAUCAGCAACGCUACGGUGAAUACGUUCCCGGGGCUUGUACACACCGCCCGUCACGUCACGAAGUCGGUAACACCCGAAGUCAGUGCCCAACCGCAAGGAGGGAGCUGCCGAAGGUG